rnacentral:lncRNA from 1 species
UCGUAAAAAAUUAGGUAUUCACAUAAGGAAAUAAUGAGCUGGUUAUUGUGAAUGUCGUUACUAAAUUAUUUUGGCCUUGAAUUUCAUCAUGUUUUCCUUAUUUUGUCAUAUUGUUGUGCACAGUACACAUACAUUACUAAACUAUUAUGAUAAGUUGUUCUUGUUUAUCCAACCUUAGUUAAAAACUAAAUGAGAAUAAAAGAGUGGAAAAGGCAAGAGAGUUACAUUAUUAAAAAAAAACUUAAAUUGAGUGCAUAUACUUGAGUGCUGAGUGUAUACAAGGUUAGGGAGGGUGGUGAGAAAAAAACAUUACGUAUGACUAAAAUUAUUUUAUUCAAGUAUGUCAAGUGAAGGAGGAUCAGGAGGUCAUGUAGGAACCGGUGAUGGCCUAAAUCUAUUUCAAAUGCAGGUCUUAAAUCAACAUAUGGAGAAAUUGACGAAGCAACAAGGUGAUGAGAUCCAUGAGAAGUUGGAUUUAAUGAAACAUAGAGGAAAUCAAGAAGAAGAGCGAAGGCGGUGAAGAAUAAACAAUGACGAAGACUAGAGGAAGAAUGUGAUUAAAGGGGUCGAGUUGAACAUUCCACCAUUCCGAGG